AAUAGGUAGUAGCUCCUUCAUUUCUUUUCUUAAGCUUUCCUCUCACUUUUCUCUUUGGUUUUUAUACAAAAACCAUGAUCUACGAAGAUCUAACCGUCCAAACACAAAUCUGUCUUCGAUAACGUGAUCUAUGAAGCUCAAUCUACGUUUUCACCGAUCGUUUUGAGGUAAUGGGUUACUUGAAACUUGCUUGGGGCCGCCCAAACCAUAGGUUUUGGUUUGGUGAAAUUUCGUGACACAUUGCAAGGUGGUGCAUAGGAAACUUAGUGCUUUAAUCCGCGCAGCCAAGAUUCCAACUCAAAAACUUCAGAUCCUUUGUUCCCGUCUGGACUGCCCAGUCUUGCGUCCGGACGCCCAUCAGUGUAAAGAAGCUUUUGAACAGUGCCAGGCUGCAUCCGUCUGGACGUCAUGGGAACACGUCCGGAUGCUCUUCAGAGUUCAUGAAGAUUCCAGCUUUUCUUUGCAGACAAGGAGUGGGAAGACAACUUGCACUCGUUUGGAUGACAGGGCAACACCGUCCAAACGCUGACUUGAUAAAGAAAUUGCGUGCAUACAUUCUACAUCUGUCCGGACUGCAGGGCAACACCAUCCGGAUGCGGUCCUUGAUAUGGCAAUUACGUGCAGCCAAGUUGCAACCGUCCGGACUCUAGGGCAACACCGUCUGGAUGCGGCCUUAACAUAGAAAUGUGUGAAGCGCGUUAUGGAACGGCAGUUGCACUGCUGAGAUUCUGGACGCUCUAUGCUUCCGUCUUGACGCCACCUAGAGAAAUCAGAGACACACUCAAUUUAGGUCUUCUUAGCCUAUAAAUAAAGGCCUCUAAGCAUGUAUUCUUUAUAGAAUUUGGUAUUGAAUUCUUUAUAGCUUAGAAAGGGUGUUUAGGGAGAUAUUGUGAAGAUUUGCUAGCUCUCAAGCUGUUGCUGGUGUGCUGUUACUAUGCUCGUGUUGAAGUCUAUCUUAGGGAGGAGCCCUAAGGUAAAUGAAUCCAUUAAAGACCCCUUCAAGUAGGUGAAUUGGUUGGGAUGUGUUCAUGUUGGGUUAUGUGUCAGAAUGUAAGAUACGAUCACUGCAUAUGGGUAUGUGAUUGUUACUAUCUUUGUACUAGCUUUGUCUUCUGAAUAGUAGAUUUCCUAGGUUUGGUUGC